rnacentral:rRNA from 1 species
GACGAACGCUGGCGGCAUGCCUAAUACAUGCAAGUCGAGCGAACAGAUGAAGUGCUUGCACUUCUGACGUUAGCGGCGAACGGGUGAGUAACACGUAAGGAAUCUACCUAUAAGCGGGGGAUAACAUUCGGAAACGGGUGCUAAUACCGCAUAAUAUCUUCUUCCGUAUGGAAGAAGAUUGAAAGACGGCUCUGCUGUCACUUAUAGAUGACCUUGCGGUGCAUUAGUUAGUUGGUGGGGUAAUGGCCUACCAAGACGAUGAUGCAUAGCCGACGUGAGAGGGUGAGCGGCCACAUUGGGACUGAGACACGGCCCAAACUCCUACGGGAGGCAGCAGUAGGGAAUCUUCCGCAACGGGCGAAAGCCUGACGGAGCAAUGCCGCGUGAGUGAAGAAGGCCUUCGGGUCGUAAAACUCUGUUAUAAGAGAAGAACAAAUUGUAGAGUAACUGCUACAGUCUUGACGGUAUCUUAUCAGAAAGCCACGGCUAACUACGUGCCAGCCGCCGCCGUAA